GGAGGGGUGGCAGAGUGGUCGAAUGCGGCGGUCUUGAAAACCGUUGAAGGUUUGCGCCUUCCGGGGGUUCGAAUCCCCCUCCCUCCGCCA
rnacentral:tRNA from 3 species